rnacentral:rRNA from 2 species
AAACUUAAUGGUGUGUGGGAACGUUUCGAAAGGAACGCUAAUACCGCAUACGUCCUACGGGAGAAAGUGGGGGAUCUUCGGACCUCACGCUAUCAGAUGAGCCUAGGUCGGAUUAGCUAGUUGGUGAGGUAAAGGCUCACCAAGGCGACGAUCCGUAACUGGUCUGAGAGGAUGAUCAGUCACACUGGAACUGAGACACGGUCCAGACUCCUACGGGAGGCAGCAGUGGGGAAUAUUGGACAAUGGGCGAAAGCCUGAUCCAGCCAUGCCGCGUGUGUGAAGAAGGUCUUCGGAUUGUAAAGCACUUUAAGUUGGGAGGAAGGGCAGUAAGUUAAUACCUUGCUGUUUUGACGUUACCAACAGAAUAAGCACCGGCUAACUUCGUGCCAGCAGCCGCGGUAAUACGAAGGGUGCAAGCGUUAAUCGGAAUUACUGGGCGUAAAGCGCGCGUAGGUGGUUCGUUAAGUUGGAUGUGAAAGCCCCGGGCUCAACCUGGGAACUGCAUCCAAAACUGGCGAGCUAGAGUAUGGCAGAGGGUGGUGGAAUUUCCUGUGUAGCGGUGAAAUGCGUAGAUAUAGGAAGGAACACCAGUGA